rnacentral:rRNA from 1 species
AUUGAACGCUGGAGGCAUGCUUUACACAUGCAAGUCGAACGGUAACAGGGUGCUUGCACCGCUGACGAGUGGCGAACGGGUGAGUAAUGCGUCGGAACGUGCCGAGUAGUGGGGGAUAACGCAGCGAAAGUUGUGCUAAUACCGCAUACGUACUGAGGUAGAAAGUGGGGGACCUUCGGGCCUCACGCUAUUCGAGCGGCCGACGUCUGAUUAGCUAGUAGGUGAGGUAAAGGCUCACCUAGGCGACGAUCAGUAGCGGGUCUGAGAGGAUGAUCCGCCCGACUGGGACUGAGGCACGGCCCAGACUCCUACGGGAGGCAGCAGUGGGGAAUUUUGGACAAUGGGCGAAAGCCUGAUCCAGCCAUGCCGCGUGUCUGAAGAAGGCCUUCGGGUUGUAAAGGACUUUUGUCAGGGAGGAAAUCCCUAGUGCUAAUAACACUGGGGGAUGACAGUACCUGAAGAAUAAGCACCGGCUAACUACGUGCCAGCAGCCGCCGUAA